UACGUAGGGUGCAAGCGUUAAUCGGAAUUACUGGGCGUAAAGCGUGCGUAGGCGGCUAUGUAAGACAGAUGUGAAAUCCCUGGGCUUAACCUAGGAACUGCAUUUGUGACUGCAUGCUAGAGUGUGGUAGAGGGAGAUGGAAUUCCGCAUGUAGCAGUGAAAUGCGUAGAUAUGCGGAGGAACACCCAAUGGCGAAGGCAAUCUCCUGGACCUGCACUGACGCUCAUGCACGAAAGCGUGGGGAGCAAACAGG
rnacentral:rRNA from 1 species